rnacentral:snoRNA from 1 species
AAGUGAUAUGAUGGCACACCAUCUUUCGGGACUGACCUGAAAUGGAGAGAACUCUUAAUACUGAUCACUU